UGCGGCUGGAUCCCCUCCUUUCUAAGGAGACCGGGUGUCGGACAGCGCCUCCGGGCGCAGUAGGCGACACCAGGCACUUUCGGGUGCCUUCAGGUCAACCAGGUCAACGCUUCGCAAUCAGAUGUCCCCUUGAGCUUGCUAUUCGGUUUUGAGAGACCGAGCUUCUUCCAGAAGCGCGGAUAUCUCUGUUCUUUGACAAGUGCAUACGAAGGGUAGCCAGUAAUUGUAGGUAAAGGCUUCAAUUUUGCUGAGGCACACGCCGUCGCGCCGGGAGGCGCUCAAGAGGCGGUGUGCAACUCAAGUCAGGGCCAACUCGAGGCGAAGAGCCUGAGGGCCUGGGCCUUGGUUUUGAGCCUCGUGUGAGGCGAAGAAAUCAGGGCAAGUAAGCUACUAAGGGCGUGUGGUGGAUGCCUAGGUGCUCAGAGGCGAAGAAGGACGUGGGUGGCUGCGAAAAGCGUCGGGGAGGUGCCAACCAACCGUUGAGCCGGCGAUGUCCGAAUGGGGAAACCCGG
rnacentral:misc_RNA from 1 species